AGAACGAACGCUGGCGGCGUGGAUAAGACAUGCAAGUCGAACGCGACUUAUCUGGUUAGCAAUAACUAGGUAAGUUGAGUGGCGAAAGGGUGCGUAACACGUGGGAAUUUACCAAAAAGUGGGGGAAUAGCUCGGCGAAAGCCGAAUUAAUACCGCAUGUGAUCGAAAGAUCAAAGCCGGGGACCGCAAGGCCUGGCGCUUUUUGAGAAGCCCGCGGCCCAUCAGCUAGUUGGCGGGGUAAAAGCCCACCAAGGCUAUGACGGGUAGCUGGUCUGAGAGGACGACCAGCCACACUGGAACUGAGACACGGUCCAGACACCUACGGUGGCAGCAGUCGAGAAUUUUUUCACAAUGG
rnacentral:rRNA from 1 species